rnacentral:sRNA from 1 species
UGCCGCCGCCCUCCUUGGGCGUUUCCUCCCUAGACUUGGGCCGCUCCGUUCGUCGGGGCGGCCUCUUUCUUUUGAGCC